AGUCCCGUAGCUCAGUAGUUAGAGCGCUCGCCUCGUAAGCGAGAGACCCGGGUUCGAUUCCCGGCAGGGCGA
rnacentral:tRNA from 1 species